CCUGGUGGCUCAGACGGUAAAGUGUCUGCCUGCAAUGCGGGAGACCCAGGUUCAAUUCCUGGGUCAGGA
rnacentral:tRNA from 1 species